AAGAACAAAAAUUAAUUUAAUAGAAAAUUAAAGGCAAAAAAGCAGAGCAUUGACAAAUCCAUGAACUAAUUCACUGAAAAGACUGAUAAAUAACCAAGUAUUUUGUACAUUUACUCAGGAGCAAAAAAAGAAUGAAUAAAUAAAUCUUCCUGGAGAUAAAAAAAAUCUAUUUUUAAAAUUAUAGUUCAUAACCCAUAUGGUGAAAAUAUAGGUUAAAACCCUCACUUAAGAAGAAGAAAGCCUGAAUAAACCAAUAAUCAUUAAAAGAGUUGAAUCCAGCUUUUCUGCCCGCUCCCCGCUCCCCACUCCUAUGGGCCAGCUCCGGCUCAGGGCUCCUGCAAAGCUAGAGCUGCUGCGAUCUCUCUUUAGCUGCCAUCACCAUUAUCUACCCGGACCUCAUCAGCCACGAUGAGAUGUUCUCCGACAUUUACAAGAUCUGAGAGAUUGCAGACAGCUUGUGCCUGGAGGUGGAGGGGAAGAUGGUCAGUAGGACAGAGGGUAACAUUGAUGACUUGCUCACUGGUGGAAAUGCUUCUGCUGAAGGACCUGAGGACGAAGGUACCGAAAGCACAGUUGUCACUGGUGUUGAUAUUGUCAUGAACUAUCACUUUCACAAAAGAAGCCUACAAGAAGUACAUCAAAGAUUACAUGAAGUCAAUCAAAGGCAAACUUGAAGAACAGAGACCAGAAAGAGUCAAACCUUUUAUGACAGGGGCUGCAGAACAAAUCAAGCACAUCCUGGCUCAUUUCAAAAACUACCAGUUCUUUAUUGGUGAAAACAUGAAUCCAGAUGGCAUGCUUGCUCUCCUGGACUACUGUGAGGAUGGUGUGACCCCAUGUAUGAUUUUCUUUAAGGAUGUUUAGAAAUGGAAAAAUGUUAACAAAUUUGGCAAUUACUUUGGAUCUAUCACCUGUCAUCAUAACUGGCUGCUGCUUGUCAUUCAAACAACACCAGGACUUAAGACAAACAGGACCGAUGUCAUCUUAAGCUCUUCAUUUAUUUUGACCGUGAUUUAUUUGGAGUGGAGGCAUUGUUUUUAAGGAAAAACAUGGCAUGUAGGUUGUUUAGAAAUAAAAUGCAUUUAAACUAAAAAAAAAAAGUUGAAUUCAAAGUUAAAAAUCUCCUCCAUCUUCCACUGUCCCCACCCACAAACAGCAAAUCCACCAGGUACAGAUAACUUUAUAGGAAAGUUCUACCAACACUUCAGGAAAGUGAUGGAAAAGAUGAAAAAGAGAAAUGUGAGUUCUUUUAUUCGGCUAGUGCGUGUAACUUUGAUACCACAACCAGAUAGGUGUAAUAGGAGAAAAGAAAAUGAAAAGACAAUUCUACCAAAAAUGUAGA